CAAUUGUGAUUUCUGCCAUGUCUGCUCAGAAAUGUUUGAAAAAUGGUUGUGAAGCAUAUCUUGCUUAUGUGUUGAACACAAAAGUGUCUGAAAUAAAGAUCGAAUCAGUGCCAGUGGUAUGUGAAUAUGUAGAUGUGUUCCUAGAAGAGUUGCCAGGUUUGCCUCCGAUUAGAGAAGUAGAGUUUGGUAUUGAAGUAAUGCCAGGUACUGCUCCAAUAUCGAUUGCUCCCU
rnacentral:lncRNA from 1 species